GAUUCGCGGCCUAUCAGCUUGUUGGUGAGGUAGUGGCUCACCAAGGCGACGACGGGUAGCCGGCCUGAGAGGGCGACCGGCCACACUGGGACUGAGAUACGGCCCAGACUCCUACGGGAGGCAGCAGUGGGGAAUAUUGCACAAUGGGCGCAAGCCUGAUGCAGCAACGCCGCGUGCGGGAUGACGGCCUUCGGGUUGUAAACCGCUUUCACCCAUGACGAAGCGCAAGUGACGGUAGUGGGAGAAGAAGCACCGGCUAACUACGUGCCAGCAGCCGCGGUGAUACGUAGGGUGCGAGCGUUGUCCGGAUUUAUUGGGCGUAAAGAGCUCGUAGGCGGUCUGUCGCGUCGGAAGUGAAAACUUGGGGCUUAACCCUGAGCUUGCUUUCGAUACGGGCAGACUUGAGGAAUGUAGGGGAGAAUGGAAUUCUUGGUGGAGCGGUGGAAUGCGCAGAUAUCAGGAGGAACACCAGUGGCGAAGGCGGUUCUCUGGACAUUUCCUGACGCUGAGGAGCGAAAGCGUGGGUAGCAAACAGGCUUAGAUACCCUGGUAGUCCACGCCGUAAACGGUGGGUACUAGGUGUGGGUCUCAUUCCACGAGAUCCGUGCCGCAGCUAACGCAUUAAGUACCCCGCCUGGGGAGUACGGA
rnacentral:rRNA from 1 species